GCGACCCUAUGAAAGUGGAAAUAGACUACUUCUCGGUAUACGAAUACAACCUUCACGUCGUUCCCUGAAGAUUAAAAAACAAAAAGGCGAGUUUUUCUUUUUGGAGAAAGAGAGGGGGGAAGAAAAAAAGAAAAAAAAGAAGGCGUCUCUCUGAAGAAGUGGACAUUUGGUCACCGGGAAGAGUUGGAUGCGCCUUGGAGAUUCGUGCUUUCCUCUACUCUUGCCGCCCCCCCUCGGAGAAAAUGCCGUAGAGUCGUCGGAUUUGUUCGCUUUGAACCUUUUCUGCGCCGACGUGUUUCGCUGCUCUCGCAACAGUCCUCCUCCUCCUCCUCCUCGCGGAGCCGCUGUGUCGGAAGGCAGGCGCUGUCGUCGCUGACAGAAAAGGUGCUGACAAAGGACUAUUGUGCUGUGCAUGAAGAGACCAGGCUCCUUAUCGCAUAACUUGGAAUAAUAUAUCCGUGGAUUAAUACCAUGGCAUCAGCUGGUGACAGUGCUGAGGGAGGAGCCAAUGAGGAGUUCAGUGACAUCAUCAAAUGGAGAUCCGAUGAGCACGAUGCAGUUCAGAAGAAAACGUUCACCAAAUGGAUAAAUGCACAGUUUUCUAAGACGCAGACAUGUAACUCAGUGGUUGCAUUGUUUUAUUCCAACCAGACGGG